UAAAAAAGAAAACUCCACCUCCUCUAUGGCAGCCACCUAUUAAAGGGAGAAAAGAGGAAAAAAAAAGGGAAGAAGAGGAGAUUUGUAGACAAAGAGGUGAAGUUGCUAGUGGGUGAAGUAGAAAAGAUAGCAGCACUGGUUGAGAAAGCUAGACGCAGAAGUUUGUAGAAACUUGCAGAAGCGAAGUCGCGUGCAGCUGGAGAAGAAGCAAAAACGCGGUGAGCCGAGCAGAAAGAUAGAACCAUAAAGCAGAAGCAAACGUUGAGCCAAGCAGAAGGGAGACAAGCUAAAAGAGAAGGGAUUAAUCAAGUAAGGAGAAUGCCCCAAUUUGGAGUGUUUCUAAGGAUGGAACUCUUUGUCAAAAUCUUGCUCAUUUCAACUGGAUACUUUCCUUCACGGUUGGCCCGGAAAGCCUAUUUGGCAGCAGAAGGCUUCCCCUGAAGUUGCUUUCUUUGUCUAGGAAGCAACAUGUGAGCGUAUCCUUUACCAUGGGUAAUUUCAGUAAGAGGAAGGCAUCAUUGCUAAUAGUUGUCUCUUUUGUUCUGCUAUUUCAAAUCGCUAACCAUCUUUUGUUGUGUCUUCAAGCGAGAAGGCUUCCCUUUCAGGAAUCAAGUGGGUGACAGGUGGAUCUAUUAGGAAUGUAGCUACUAUGCUGUUACGGUAAUCACUGUCAUGACAGAAAGAAGAAGCUUGUAUCUCUUAUUCCUCAUGUCAUUUCUUGGACUAUGGAGAGAAAGGAGUAGGCGAUAGUUGGUCCAAAUUGUAAAUAUUUUGAUCCCUCUGCAACAAACCAAAAAAGUUAAGUAUUUUGUUUAAAUAUCAUUCUAUCCUCUGUCAGAACUCUUUUAGGUGACAUUUACCUGAGUUCCUCUUUUAAUUUUCUAAUUUAUGAGCCCAUAAAUGGGUGGCAACCCCUUGGUGCCUCUAGAAAUAUCUUUAUGUGUUUUUAAUAAUUUUUUACAUUUAAUGGAUAAUUUUUUCAUUUAUUUUUACCCAAUAUAUUCAGCCUCUUUGAGGAGAGUUGGGGAUUCCCACCCACUCUUGAGUUUUUUUUUUUCCUCUGCCUAUUUGAGAGUUUGGCUGAAGAAUAAAUGAUGUGAAAUGCUUUGGAGAAAGGCACUUUUUGCUGACUGCUGGGCUUUGUGGUUGGAACACAAUCCACAACUUUUAAUUAAUGUGUUAAUCCUACAAAUGCUAUUUGGGGUAGAAUGAUCUGUAUAGCCUCUUAGGGGGCUAAGGGGGCUUGCCAUUGACUAUUAGGCAAAGUAAUUGGGAAACUGUCAUUAAAUUUUUACAAAAUUUAUCUCUUUUUCCUCUCUUUUUUCCCCCCCCUUUUCUAACUUGUUUUCUUUCUUUAUAUAUGAUGAUACCUUGCUCUCUUUCUAUGGUUUUCCUCUUUCUUUCUUUUUCUUUAAAAAAAUAUGAAAAAGAAAAUAACCAUAAGUCAUUCUACUCGCGAGCUACCAGUUUCAGCUAUAAACAAUGGUACUUUAUUAUUGUAGUAUAGCUUGUGUGUAGAUUAUGCAUGUUUGUUCAAGUAUGUGCAUUUUAUUGUGAAAAUUCUUAUAGAAAUUAUAUUUCCAAAAUCUUUUUAUUAUAUUUUAUUUAUUUAGAGAAUAAAUAAAAAAUACUCUAAAAGUUUCAAAAACUCAUAAAUUUUAUGAAAAUAAUAGAUAAUAUUUAAAAUUGUUUGGACAUUUUUGGAAUCCAACCUGCAUGCUUGUUGCAUUGGUUGACACUGUUGCGUGCCACAGUGUCUUAUCCCUACUCUCACUUGUUUCUCCUCAUGUAUGUUGUAAUGCCAACAAAGUAUUUCCAUCAGAAAGGUGCAGGUUUAAUAUUCUCUUUCCUUUUUGAUCUGGUAAUAUAGUUCUAACCGCUCCUUCUCACAGUAGUGUCAAUAUGCCAUCAAGCUCUCCUGUUCUUCUUUCUCUUGUUUUCUGGAGAAGUUAUUAGCUACUUUAGUGAGGGAAGUGGUGUUGUGCCUUUGAUGGUGGAAGAUUUGUGACUGGAAGGAGAGUAUUCACCAUUCUGUGCUUUUUCCUUUUUUAAGGAUAAUUUGAUAAUUGUAAAAUUAAUAAAAAAAGUACACUCUUAAAAUACCAUUCCUAUUGUAGAGCUCAGAAAGCCAUUAGAAAAAUUCUGUCUUGGGGGAUUCUGCUGGGGGUUAAUUAAGCUGAAGAUGAAUUUAUUUAGAAUUAUCUUUUUCUGCAGUGGGAGGGAAGUUGUGAUCAGGAGGAUUUUGACUGAUGAAAAUCUAAGAAAAGAAGGGGAAGAUUCAAUGUUAUCUUUAUUAUGGGUGACUGAGACUUGAUAUCUGGUCAAUGGUUUCAGGAUGAGAUCCAAUUGUGGGAAGGUAUCGGGUCAAUAAUAGAAGGAAAAACUUUUUUUGUUUAUCACACUAUUGGACAUCUGAAAGACAAGCAAUGGAAAGGGUUUCAGACGAUGUUGCUGCCUCUUCUGGUAGACUUAGGCAUAUAUGGUUCUAGACCUUCUGUUUCUUGUUUAAGGGUUAUCUUUUUUCUUCUACAUAGGACUUGGGGAAGCUCACUGAUCUCAUUUAUAUUAUAUUCCUCAUUUUUCCAAACGCGGGCAACACUCUCUUAAUUUGCUGUUGAUGCACCUUUUUUGGAGUCCUAGAAAUGCAUAAUUAAGCUGAAACAAGAAAGGUAUGUACAAAUUAAUGUUGGAGUUCGAAAACACGAGUGUGAUAAAGUUGACAGGGUGUCACAUGACGUGUCUAUGGCAAGGAUCUAUCCACUACAAGUGUGCUUUUAUGGUAUCUUUCUUGAGUUAAGGAGUAUAAAUGGUCGGAACCCUAAUUUCCUUUGAGACUGAGAAAACAAGAGAAUGAGGAGAUGGGGAAGAGAGGCAGCGGUCGAUAUGAUCUUCGUCCAUUGGUGCGAUCCUCAUCCGUGUCUGGUAAAACUUCAUGCUUUUUAUCUUGUUUGCUCGUCUCCAUCAUCUCAUCAUCGCCAUCAAUUUAUGAAUUACCAUGUUUAUGCUCUCUCUAUCUCUCCUCUCUCAUGGAUUUUGAAUCUUUUGAAUCUUCAGUAUUUAAUUUGCAUCUUGUCUUUCUAGAGAUGAUUAUUGAAUCAGUUCUUGUUUUAGGGAUUUGAUUCUUGAACGAUAUUUUGUGAAACCUUACUAUUUGUUGAACUAGACUUAGCACCUAGUUAUUAAAGGGAUUUUAUGUGUUGAUAUCUAGAUCCUUCAAUCACAAUCAAUUUUGCUCAUAAAAUCUUCUAAAAGAAGUUUUUGGGAUAAUUAGUUAUCUCAUUAAUUAAUUUUCAUGGUAUUAAAGUCAUGUUCAACCCUGAGCCCACAUGUAGUCUCACUGCACUUCUACUAUGCACUUUUGGUAUUGGAACUGGAUGCCUAAGUUCAAAUCUUGGGAUUCUCAUAUAUUCUGUUACUAUUGUUUACUAUUCUUUUUGACAUAGUUGGCAAGUUCAAAUUACGCAGAGUCUAGUAAUCUCUCUCUGUCUUCCAACUCCUAUUACUAAACUUAACAUCUCUCCCCGGGAUAUAAGAUCAUGUUAGAGGAUGUAGUAUAAAUAAUGAAGUUGGGUCCUUUUUUAUGCAAAUCAUCUUGGAAUAUUUUUUCCAUCGUUUUAUUAGUAUAGGUCGUAAUCUUUUUAAUUGGCUUGUUUAUUCAUUGUUUAGUUAAGAUUUCUAUUUAAUUGUCAUUUCCUAUUUAGUGUUCUAGUCAUAAUUGGAUUUCUAGAGAUACUAUAACUAGUUGGGUGCUAUUCCGUUGUUAUUCCAACGGCUCGUAUCUAAAAUCAAUAGAUAUUUUCUCAUGAUUGAGUACUUCACUCCGCAUGCUUGUCAGUUGUAACAAUUCUGUGAUUGCAGUUGUGUUUUUGACCUCUGUGAUUGCAGAUUGCCAAUCAUUAUCAUUGUGGGUUGCAUCAUUUCCUUUUUCCUUUUUCUAUUAGCUUAAAGAUUUUGUAUUAUUGCUUAUUCAACUAAUUGUUUCUGAAUUAUCAUGUUAUGAAGUAAGAGAAAAUCAACCAUUAUGGUGGAAGUAGUUAGUUAUUAUACAAUAGAUUUAGAUAAUGUGAUUGCCUUGAGAUCUUGUGAAUUUAAAAGGAAGAUUUUGCCCUUUCUACGAUGUUUUUAAUGAUUCAGCACUGGUUAUAUAUUGUAAAGCCAACUAUAUAACCAAUUUGUAGCAUUUCAAUUAAUUUUUUUGAAUAUGACCUAUACAAAUUGUUAGAAAAUGCAAAAUGUUUGAUAAGUUUGAUACAACCAUUUUAGAUGACAACAGGAGUUCACAUUGUUGGAUAAGGAGGAAAGAAUCUGUUGGUAGUUCAGCUGAAAAAGGUCUCUUGAACUAUUUCAAUUUUUUGUAAACAGAUUGUUGAUUAUUAUUUCACUAACUACAGGUUGCUUCAAGGGGCAUAAUGUAGCUUUCUCAACGCUACUGUCUACUCCUUUUAUUUAACAAUGUUUCUUUUAUAGGAUUUUUUUUAACAAUGUCAUGUUAUGAAUGGUAAUAUAUUACACAAAAUUGAGAUCAUUUUAACAUUUUUGGAUUUGGAAUAUGAAGACAUUUGAUUUUAAUUGAAUUGUACAUGAUGAAAAAACAAAUUUCAAUAACACCCGAUGAGGAUGCGUUGCUUGCUAUAAAGAAAGCACAAGGCUAAAAGUGCUAUUUCACUCUUCAUCACUUGGGAUACCAUGGAUGAUAGGAAUAAAAGAACUUUCAAUAGGGUAUAAAGCCCUUUUCAUGGGACAAAUAUCUUCGAUUGUAUAUCCUAUACUUUUGAUUACUUGCCACACUUUUGCCAGCGAUGAAGAGUUUGUGUUGUGGGCGUCAUAGAGCUUCUUUCUUGCAAGGUAAUCAUUUGUUCAUGGGUGACACCUUCUUGGUGCUUUCAUUCAACAUGUGGCUUCGGAAACGUAAUGUUGUGUUUAUUGCACAAAUGAAUUCCAUAUGUCUGCAGAAUCAACAAUGCCUUGAUUAACAUGGAUUGUUGAUGUAAAUCAACUUUUGAACUUGCUACAGAGCUAGUUUUGGUUUUGACCGGCAAUGAUGUCCUUGUUCCAUACUGUUUACACUCUAUGAUCUUCUGUUUAUCUUGUGAUUUCUUGAUAUAGCAUGUUUACAUCUUUCCAAAAAAAGCAUGUUUACAAUCAGUUGCCUUGCCUUGUGGACCUAGCUUGUGCGACACAAAUCUAAACAUGUUGGCUGUGUUUGUUUUUCUGCUGAGAUUUUGAUGAUGCUGCAUGCUACUCAGUGUUAGUAACCAUGUGAAAAUUAUUUGGUUGUUAUGUGUUAUGAUAUUCUUCAAUACAUACAAUAUUCCGUGAUAAAUAACAGUCCCUUAUGAAAUAUUCUUGUCUUUGCCUCCUGGUUGGAUAUUUCUUUUUAUUUCUUUUCUUUUUUUUUGGCAUAUGAACUGUAGGAGGAAAGGAAAAAGAUGUCUGCUGAGUAAAGUUGUGUACUAGUGGUAGUUGAUAAAUGUCCCAGCAGUGUUGUUUAUCCUAUGCUCCAGACUAGAAAAUACUUAAACUCAAGUAUUAGAGAAAGAGUAUUAGGACAUGAAAGUGUAGUAGAAGUUACAAAGUGCCAAAAAAAUAGUUCCGCUAAAUUUUGUUUUUUCCUUUUCAGCUCACUGUUAUGUACUAUGUAGUACCUGGUAGUGGCUUAUUAGUUGGAGUGCCAGCUGUCUUACGCCAUGGUUGUUGGGAUGUUUACCCUUUUUGGGUAAUACAAAUAUCUAUUUAGGUGACUAAGCAUGAGUAUAUCAUUAAUUUCAGAUUCUUACUCCCCAACUCUCGCUGUUUCUCUUUCUUCUCUCUUCUUCCCCUUUCUUGCCUUCCCGUUUCUCACUCAUACACCUAACGCUAAUAAUCCCUGGGCUGUCUUGAUCCCUAAUGAGUCAAGGCCCUUAUAGAGAAAAGCCUGCUAGAUAAUUCAGCAUUGCAUAUGCCUUUAUUGCCCAAUUUCAAAGGGAUUUCGGGUUUUUGACCGUAAUUUGAUCUAGGGACUUGUGAACUAGAAAAAAAUUUCCCAAUUCCCAGAUACCAAAAGAACAAUGUUAUAAUGGAUAUCCAUUUUGUGCUACAACUAUACAUGCUUUUCUUUUAAUAUCUAACCAAAGAUUAUUUUCUUAAUUAUUCUUUUUACUCUUUUCUAUUCCUUGAAAAAAGAGAAACAGAAGAACUUUUGACAAGUCCACAUCUUCAUUUCAUGAGAUUAGAGAGCACUGGUCUUAAUCAAACUUUGUACUCUGCUCAAAAGCAGAUCAUCUAUGAUGAAACUGAUAUCUUGGAUCUUUUUAUUUAAUCUCCAUUAAGAAAAUGUAAAUUCUGUUUAGUCUCUUUAGCAUUUGGGAUUACAUCCAUUGGUGCCUUUCGCUGUGGUAUUUUUCUUCUUAAAGAAAGCCCUCAGUAUCUAAUAUAUGAUUAUUUUAUUUGAUUAUGGUGAAAAUAGUACACACGAAUAUUAUUUAUCAAUCAAGGAAAGAGCUUUUGAUUUAGAAAUGAGGAGUUUUCAGAUACUUGAAAAAAUUCAGUAAACAAAUCUAAUCAUCUGAACUAAUCAGAUUUAAAUGAAUUUACUGGUUUUAACUAAACUGACAAUUUUUCAAUUUAUCUUUGACAUACUUUUUAAACUAGCAUAGUCAAUUGUCCAGUUUAUGGUUGGAUUCACCACUCUAGUCCACUUUUAAUAUUGAUGAUUUCUUGAACAAGUGACUAGCUCUCAAAUAAUAUGUCUCAUGAAGAAUGAAAAAAUGCAUGUGUGUUAUAUAACCUUUGUCAUUUCUUCUAAAAUGCAGGCACCUCAUUGGAGUGGGAUGAUGAUUGAGAGGACAAUCGAGGAAGACGCAAAAAGUGUAAAACAAGUCUAUGUAGAGACUUGAGACAAUGGGCUGAACUCCCUGAUGAUCUUCUUUAUGCUUUAACAAAGCAACUCAGCAUGGUGGAUUAUUUGUCAUUCAGUCGUGUCUGGACUAGAUGAAGGUCAAGUUCUAAGGCCUUUAGAAAGGAUUUUCUUGCAUCUCUAUCUCCACUUAUUGUUAUCAUGUUAUCCUGGGAGUUGGAAGGGAGGCCUGAAUUAUUUAGCAACAAUGUGGAAUUUGUGGUUGUGGCUGAUCGACUCUUGGUAGUUGAUUUUGUUCCCUAUUCUUCGCUAAUAAUUCAUGAGAUAGAUUUUUCGGAGAUGAAGUGGGUGAAGAUUACUGAUCUCGGCGAUCAAGCUUUGUUUUUGUCUAGCUUCAAAUGCAUUAGAUUGAUCAAUUCAAAAAAGUGGGGAGGACCAACUAACUGCUUGUACUAUCGUCCUUUUGUUGGCUUGAAGUGUCAAUUGCUCUCCCUUGACUUAGCAUCUUUGGCGAGAUUGGACCUGGUAGAUACCUGCGAAUGAACUUUGGAUGGUUCUUCCCUGAUCAAGUUUAUCAGAUGGAUGUUGUUUGGGAUGAUUAGUAUGGUGAUAUGCCAGAACAGUAUACUAUAGAAUGAAGUCUUUACUAUUGCUCCUUUAGUAUUUUGCCUUGUGAAUUUGGUCAAGGCUAUAGUUUGAAAUAGCUUUCUGAUGCUAUUAGUCUUUUUUUCUCUGGUGAAUUUGGUUUUAUUGGAUGUUGGAUUUCUUGUUGGAUUUUUGUUGUGUUUCUCUAUUUGUAUUUUUCUGGUGAAUUUUAUAUGGGUUGAAUAAUUUCUUGGGAUUUUAUAUUAUUAGA